CCCCUGCGACGCUGCGGCGUGCCUAAUACAUGCAAGUCGAGCGAAUCUUUGGGAGCUUGCUCCCAUUGGUUAGCGGCGGACGGGUGAGUAACACGUGGGCAACCUGCCUGUAAGACUGGGAUAACUUCGGGAAACCGGAGCUAAUACCGGAUAAUUCUUUUCCUCUCAUGAGGAAAAGCUGAAAGUCGGUUUACGCUGACACUUACAGAUGGGCCCGCGGCGCAUUAGCUAGUUGGUGAGGUAACGGCUCACCAAGGCGACGAUGCGUAGCCGACCUGAGAGGGUGAUCGGCCACACUGGGACUGAGACACGGCCCAGACUCCUACGGGAGGCAGCAGUAGGGAAUCUUCCACAAUGGACGAAAGUCUGAUGGAGCAACGCCGCGUGAGCGAUGAAGGCCUUCGGGUCGUAAAGCUCUGUUGUUAGGGAAGAACAAGUACCGGAGUAACUGCCGGUACCUUGACGGUACCUAACCAGAAAGCCACGGCUAACUACGUGCCAGCAGCCGCGGUAAUACGUAGGUGGCAAGCGUUGUCCGGAAUUAUUGGGCGUAAAGCGCGCGCAGGCGGUCCUUUAAGUCUGAUGUGAAAGCCCACGGCUCAACCGUGGAGGGUCAUUGGAAACUGGGGGACUUGAGUGCAGAAGAGGAAAGCGGAAUUCCACGUGUAGCGGUGAAAUGCGUAGAGAUGUGGAGGAACACCAGUGGCGAAGGCGGCUUUCUGGUCUGUAACUGACGCUGAGGCGCGAAAGCGUGGGGAGCAAACAGGAUUAGAUACCCUGGUAGUCCACGCCGUAAACGAUGAGUGCUAAGUGUUAGGGGGUUUCCGCCCCUUAGUGCUGCAGCUAACGCAUUAAGCACUCCGCCUG
rnacentral:rRNA from 1 species